ensembl:lncRNA
CCAGACCACCUGACCUGCCUCUUGAGAAAUCUGUAUGCAGGUCAGGAAGCAACAGUUAGAACUGGACAUGGAACAACAGACUGGUUCCAAAUAGGAAAAGGGUAUGUCAAGGCUGUAUAUUGGCACCCUGCUUAUUUAACUUAUAUGCAGAGUACAUCAUGAGAAAUGCUGGGCUGGAAGAAGCACAAGCUGGAAUCAAGAUUGCUGGGAGAAAUAUCAAUAACCUCAGAUAUGCAGAUGACAGCACCCUUACGGCAGAAAGUGAAGAGGAACUGAAAAGCCCAGGAAAAACAUCCUAUAUUCAUAUGGAAUUCAAGGGAUGCUGAAGAGACAAAAUUAUCUUGCAAAUGUGUGUUCCUGCAGUAACAGAGACAUACAGAUCAUGGAAUAGACCUGAGAACCCAGCAACAAAUUCUCACUUCUAUUUUCACUUGACUGCUCAUAGAAGUGCUAAGACUGGUCACUGGGCCCAGAACAGAUCCAACAAUUGGCACUGCAGAACCCAGACUCCACGUGCCAAACCUUGAGGGUGGACCUGACCUCAUACCAUACACGGACGUUAACACUAGGCGAAACAAGGCCAAAAUUUUGGAGCUAAGCUACAGAACUGUAGAAGGAAAAUCAGCUGCACAUCUUCAUGACCUUAGACUUGAUGAUGGUGCCUUAAGUAUCAGACCAGAAGCACAGAAAAUAAUGAGAAAUAGAGACAUUGGCCUUCAAAAACAUAGUGAAAAAAUUUCCAUGCAUCACUGAAUCUUCUCAUGGGAUUGAAGAUACAACCUAGUGAAGGGCAGAAAAUGUUUCCAAAUAUUAGGCCUGCUAUGGUUUUAAUAUGCAGAAUAUGUAAACGGACCAGAAACCCAAACAGACAUUUCUCAAAGGAAACAUACAAAUAUCCAGCCGCUCAUGAAAAGAUGUUCAACAUCGCUAAUUAUUAGAAAAGUGGAAAUUAAAACUACAAUGAUAUACCACCUCACAUGGGUCAGAAUGGCCAGCAUCAAAAAAUCUAUAAGCAAUAACUGCUGGAGAGGAUGCAGAGAAAAGGCGAUCCUCCUAUACUGCUGGAGGGAAUGUAAAAUGGGUAUACUAAAAACUGAGAACAGUAUGAAGAUUCCUUUAAAAACUAUAUAUAGA